ACGGAAGGCAGCAGUGGGGAAUAUUGGGCAAUGGGCGCAAGCCUGACCCAGCAACGCCGCGUGAGUGAUGAAGGUCUUCGGAUUGUAAAACUCUUUAAGCAGGGAAAAAGAAAGUGAUGGUACCUGCAGAAUAAGCAUCGGCUAACUACGUGCCAGCAGCCGCGGUAAUACGUAGGAUGCAAGCGUUAUCCGGAAUGACUGGGCGUAAAGGGUGCGUAGGUGGUUCGGCAAGUUGGUAGCGUAAUUCCAGGGCUUAACUCUGGAACUACUACCAAAACUGUUGAACUUGAGUGCAGGAGGGGUAUGUGGAAUUCCUAGUGUAGCGGUGAAAUGCGUAGAUAUUAGGAGGAACACCAGUGGCGAAGGCGGCUUACUGGACUGUAACUGACGUUGAGGCUCGAAAGCGUGGGGAGCAAACAGGAUUAGAUACCCUGGUA
rnacentral:rRNA from 1 species